GUCAGCGCGUGAGUUCUGGGCAGCUGUAAACAUGGUCAGUGUCUAUGGCUUAGGUCCUGCUGUUCGUUUUUGAACCCGAGUCGGAUAUAGAAUCACAAAUUAAGGCCACACAAUCAAUAUGACCCGACACAUCGUCAAAACCUGGAGUCGAGCCGGACGUUUCACCGUGGUUGUAACACGAGUGGAGCAGCUUCCAGUCCCCCGAUAUGCAGGGUACACCAUCCAUCCUGGAGGACACCCGUACACCCUGAAUCCGCACACCUUGUAGAGCAUCUACAACAUCCUUGGUGCUGACUAUGAACCUUUAAGGCGUAAAGGCUUUUUUGUUACAUGUGUGAAACGUGAAAUGCACACAAUAAAUGUAACAAAAAUGCC